UAACAAGUCUAACUGGCUCUGGAAAGCUGAAAGGGCUGCACUGGAGCGGCAUAGAUGAUAUAUUCCACACAGUAAUCUGCUUAUCUAGAGUCACUCUGCCUGGAAAAGCCAGAGAGAAUCACGGCUUCAUUAUCUGAGGGAAGAAGGACAGGUGAUCUGGCAGAAAACACAUCUGAACCUGGAGCAAGAAUGACCCUCUGGCUCGGCAGUCCCAAAGGUGCGGCAUGAAAGGAACUGAGCCUCCCCAGGAAUCCAAGGGCAACCACAGCAGCAAACCCGGAGUACUGCUGCCUGUGGAGACCAAGUGAGAAUGGAAACUUCUGAGAAAACAAAAUUGUCAGCAUUGUUGUCCCCUUCACUCAAAACUGUGCUAUGUAGUCUGAAAUGGAAAACAACUCCUUAACAUAGUAUUGUCGUCGAAUCCUCAACAUGGAACUUCGUACUUCUCACUCCCUUCACAAAAUUCCAUUCAACUCCCCUGGAAUUUCCAUGUUCCAAAUCAUUUUCACCAGACAAGGCUGAGAAUACUCUAAAUGGAGGCAUGAAAAUGCACUGGAGCUGGGAGUAUCUAAGACUCAGGGGUGAGUAAUUGUCUCCCCAGGCCCCUGCUGUUGGUUCAGUUACAGAGUCAGACAUGAAGUCUCCCUUCCAAAGCCCACUUGGGUCACUGAGGUAUCACAACCCCCAGCAUUGCUGCAUCCAGUCCUGUGACCAAGGAUAUGCACAGUAGGAGAAGAGCAUGGGAGCGGCCCAGAAAAAUGUUACGAACAAGGCAUUCUGGAGAGUAACUGCUAUCGUUUGGAUGGGUGCCCUCAGAAAGGCCCAUAUGUUAAGGCCUGGUCCCUGGGGUGGUGGUGCUGUGUGAUACUGUGGACUUUUAAAAAGUAAGACUGAAUGGAAGGUCCCUAGAUCUUUGGGGACAUGCACCUGAGGGAAUCACGGGAUUCUGAUAUGUCCUCUCUCUCCAUUUGCUGGUUAGUGAUGUAAGCAGUGCAUUCAGCCACAUUCCCACCAUGAUGCGCCAUCAUCACCAGAGGCCCAAACCAACAGCACUGUCCAAUCUUGGGACUAAACCUUCCAAACCAUGAACCCAAAUAACCUUUCCUUACUCACUAAGUACACUGUUGUCAGUAUUCUGUUAUACUGACAGUUACCCUGAGAAAUGGGCUGUCUUUAUCCUCUCCCUCUCAUUCACUCUAGUCCCCUAAACAGUCCUUCUAUGCUCCCCAGCUCCUUCCUCCAAAGCGGCCCACAAAUACCAUGGGGCGCCUUACCCUUUCCUAUUCUCAAAUGAGUCUUUUUGUGUGACGUUCCCAGAGCAGCAGAUUAAACCACUUUAUGAGAAUAUGAUUAAACGUUCCUGCUACCUUCCAAGUGGCACUUUAUUUUAAUAGAAGCUUUCUAGAAAUAAAUCUGAGAACCAAAGAAAGAAUCACCAGUGGAUAUUUCAGGCCCCAUGGACCAUGACACUGGAGACAUGCAGAGGACAGGCAGGGAUUUUCUGGGCCAGGGAAUCACACCAUCACAUCAGCCACAUUCUCCUGUCAGUAAUGGUUCAGCCCCAUAUGCACAGCUCUGUACCACGGAGAAUGUCAAGUGCUGCUCACAGUUACACGACCUGUACCAGCACCUGUAGUCCCUGAGUAUUCUCUCUCUACAGCCAGAAUGCAGGCCACCACCAAGUAAGAAAGUUUUCUCUCUUAUUUAACCCCCCCACAGGAGCAGUAAAUAUUGAACAUACAAGAAUUUGACUAUGGAGACACAUUUGUAAUGUCAGUAUCUGAAAGAGAUAUAGGUACUCCACGUCUCAUAGUCUAUAGGAUAUUUAUUUAUCUGCCAUAAGAAUUAAGCACAUAAAUCUGAUUACAGUUGAGUCACCCAUGCACUAUAAGAUAAUACAGUGGCCUUGAAUUUUAAGGGCAGGGCUUGACCCAAGGUGCUUGUUAAAAUGUUAGAUUCCUGGCUCCCACUAAAGGAUGUUGAUCUAUGAGUCUACAACGCCUAGAGAAUCUGCAUUUUCAUUGUCUACCCCCCAACCUUGCUUGUAAAGCCAGUCUUCCGUGGACUACUCAAGAAACAUCAAAACAGUGAUAGGGCACCUAGCCCAAAGCCUACAGGAUGACAAGUUCUCAGUACUUACUAGAUAUAAUUAUUAAGAAUCAGAACCAACCACAACUUCACAUACUCAACUUGCAUUUGAUCUCCUGCUAAGGAAAUUACCUAUGGGAGUAGCUGUAAGAUGGCAAGCUAGGAGUUUUUUAGUGUAGGAAAGAGAAAUGAGAAGAGGAAUACAGAAGAGAGGCAAGCUAACUAUGUUCUUCUAAUGAUCCUUUAACCAUCAGUGCAAACUCUUGACCCCUAAUUAUUCCCUGCUCCAUGUGACCUCAGCUCUGAAAAAACUGGACAAGAGUAUUUGAGAUAAUUAGCCAUGGACCAGGAAUUUCCCAAGUAAAAAAUAUUCAAAGGUUUGCCAUUUUUAUUUCUUGGCCUCACACAUGGAAAACAAAAUGAGGUUAUUUGAUUUGUUUUGUAAAGCAAAGUAGGCCCCAAGCAAACAGGGAGUUUCAAAGUGCCUGAGUCCACUAACUUUAGCCCAAUAUCAGAAGUGGAGCCCUAACCUGACUGGCUGCUGUGCUCGUGUGAAUCUUGGCUGUCUUCCUGCACCCAUGGUGUGAGCCUCCGCGGGUGGCUGGAGUUUCGCGGAUCUACUUACUACUUGGAUUCACUCCAUACAACAAAGGGGAUGAUCCUUCAGGAAGUCUUCUGUUUGGUUUGCAUGUUCCUGAGCAUAGGACAAAGGUCUGCUGUUUAAGAGGAUGAAUAACCAAGGCUUUGUUUCUCCAAACCAAGAGGGAAACUGUUGAUCUAACCAAAGUCACUUGGUCUUAAACUGCCCAAGGAGGACAAGAAUGAGAUAUUAUUUUAGGCGCCCAUCACUCAACCUCCUCUCAGUUCCAGAAAACAAUGACUCAGUGUGGGCCUUUCUGACAGACGGCAGCCUUAGGAAAAUACUGUUCCAUAUAUUUGGAACCAGGGCUCCUCCUGCAUUAAAAUAAGUGGAAGCUAUUCAAAGUCCACUUAGCUCUUUCUCUAUGAAUCCUGGGCAUAGGAAUACAGCUGUCCAGACUCACAUAAUGAGAGGAAAAUGGAAACUCUGCAUGACACCAAAUCAAAGUACUUCGUGUCUCCAUCCCAGGUGCUUGGCCUGUGUCUUAUUGCUUGAUUCUCACAGUAGCCUCGAAGAGCUCUGUCCCCUGGUUGGAGAAGGAAGAGCCCUCCAUCACACAGAGCAUCACAGUGUUCAUUUCUCUACAUCAAGCGACACUGAGCUAAACACUCGACGGCGCAGCCAUGGGUGUUUGCACUUUGCAAGCCUGUGUCAUAUCUGUCUUUUGCUUUUUAUCACACCUUUGAUUUAGCAGGCAAAUCUUCAGGGCUCAGUGCUGAUGGAUAUACCCUGGAGCCAGCUUCAAAGCCAGAUCUUAGAUUUAUGAAAAUAAAAUAAACAUAGCGCUUCAAUUACAAAUACCUACUUUGAAUUCCAAUGUGCACUUUCAAAGGUUCAUCUUAUAAAUCCUGCCCUUGAUUUUGAACCCAGUGAAUCUUUGGAUUUGGUGCUUAUUGGCUCCUUCCUCAAGCUGCCAUUUCAGUCCAGUCUGAAUUCACAUAUACUGUAAAUGAUUGGAGUUCCACCAUCUUACUCCGUGUACGUACCUUUUUUGCUAAAUAGAAGGUUUUCAGAGAGACUGACAGCCAUUCUGCCUGUCUCUGUCUCAUCCAGGUAGUGGCUGGAGAGCCCACACAACCAACUCAAUUUACAUUAGCUUCAUGAACGCUUUUAAAGUAUGGUGCCAGCCUGUUGGUACCAAAGCAGAUUAAAGUGUCCCCUUCCUAUGCCUACAGUCGGAGGCCCUCAUGACCAACUCUGAAAGGGAGCUAAUCAGAGACAGGCGAAGGGGCACUCAGUACCACUGAGCUCCUGCUUCUGCAGAGUUUAUAAGAAAUGGCACAAUUCCUGACCUGGAAGAGCCAGAACAUGUAUUCAUACAUACUGACAUAUAUGUGCACACACAAACACAAACACAAACUCAUGUGUGUCCAUAUAAAUACAUGCACACCUAUGAACACACAUAAGUUCAUAGUUGCAUUUGUGUUUUCCAUUCCCUCAGGAAUUCAUUUCACAGUUGUGGAAUCCCAAAGGGAAUAAAUACUACAAAAUUAAUACAAGUACAUUACCAAGACUCUGACAUUUAGAACAGACCAUUUAAGGAAUGCUUUCCUUCCCUUACAAAUUUUUAAAAGAAACAAGGGGCAGGGGUGAAUAGCGGGACAACUGAAAAGUACAUACUGUAUCCCCAGGAGAGGAAAAAAGGAGGCACUAAGGCUGUGAAAUGAAAACAAUACUUAGAUGUAAGAAAAAAAGACAAGGGAAAAAACAAAAAGGAGAGGGAACGGAGGUCAAAUUGCACAGCUGAGACCAGAGUGUAAGCUGAAAUGACAUCAUGGAAAGAAAUGAGGGUUAUGAUGGAAUAAAAUGCAAAAUAACAGAGGAUUCAUUUUAACUUUCAGCCAAAUGAGUGGUAAGAUAUUUUUGAAGUGGAGAAAUUAAAAAAUAAUAAUAAAAUCAAUACUUUCUUUCAGUAAAGCAUAAUUAAAAUGGGACCAAAUAAGAUUUAACAUUUUUCUGGUUUUAAAGAUACAUGGUAAUUUUGACAAUUUGAAAAAUAUAGCAACAGCAAAAGAAUAAAGAAGGAAAAGAAACUCCUGUGGUUCUAUUAACAACAGAUAAUUCCUGCUAAUGUAUAUUCUUCUGGUCCCAUCUUUACCAGUCGUGAUUAUACUAUCCUGUGAACUUUUUAUGGUAUUGCAUUAAAUAUUUCUCAACAUAA